AGACUGGGAUAACUUCGGGAAACCGGAGCUAAUACCGGAUAAUAUUUUGAACCGCAUGGUUCAAAAGUGAAAGACGGUCUUGCUGUCACUUAUAGAUGGAUCCGCGCUGCAUUAGCUAGUUGGUAAGGUAACGGCUUACCAAGGCAACGAUGCAUAGCCGACCUGAGAGGGUGAUCGGCCACACUGGAACUGAGACACGGUCCAGACUCCUACGGGAGGCAGCAGUAGGGAAUCUUCCGCAAUGGGCGAAAGCCUGACGGAGCAACGCCGCGUGAGUGAUGAAGGUCUUCGGAUCGUAAAACUCUGUUAUUAGGGAAGAACAUAUGUGUAAGUAACUGUGCACAUCUUGACGGUACCUAAUCAGAAAGCCACGGCUAACUACGUGCCAGCAGCCGCGGUAAUACGUAGGUGGCAAGCGUUAUCCGGAAUUAUUGGGCGUAAAGCGCGCGUAGGCGGUUUUUUAAGUCUGAUGUGAAAGCCCACGGCUCAACCGUGGAGGGUCAUUGGAAACUGGAAAACUUGAGUGCAGAAGAGGAAAGUGGAAUUCCAUGUGUAGCGGUGAAAUGCGCAGAGAUAUGGAGGAACACCAGUGGCGAAGGCGACUUUCUGGUCUGUAACUGACGCUGAUGUGCGAAAGCGUGGGGAUCAAACAGGAUUAGAUACCCUGGUAGUCCACGCCGUAAACGAUGAGUGCUAAGUGUUAGGGGGUUUCCGCCCCUUAGUGCUGCAGCUA
rnacentral:rRNA from 1 species